rnacentral:rRNA from 1 species
UGCCAGACUCCUACGGGAGGCAGCAGUGGGGAAUAUUGCACAAUGGGGGGAACCCUGAUGCAGCGACGCCGCGUGAGCGAGGAAGUAUUUCGGUAUGUAAAGCUCUAUCAGCAGGGACGAAAAAAGACGGUACCUGACUAAGAAGCCCCGGCUAACUACGUGCCAGCAGCCGCGGUAAUACGUAGGGGGCAAGCGUUAUCCGGAUUUACUGGGUGUAAAGGGAGCGUAGACGGCAAGGCAAGCCAGAAGUGAAAGGGCAGGGCUCAACCCUGUACAUGCUUUUGGAACUGUGGUGCUAGAGUGCAGGAGAGGUAAGUGGAAUUCCUAGUGUAGCGGUGAAAUGCGUAGAUAUUAGGAGGAACACCAGUGGCGAAGGCGGCUUACUGGACUGUAACUGACGUUGAGGCUCGAAAGCGUGGGGAGCAAACAGGAUUAGAUACCCGAGUUC